AAUAUGGUGAAUCUUGAGGGGCCAAACUUGGGCAACUUGAAAGAUGAAAUUACAUAAACUUAAAAAAAUAAAACACACACAUUAGAGAGGUGUGUGUGGGCGAUGGAUUGAGCAGGGGAGAAGACAAACCCUAAAAACCACAAAAUUCCCCAAAUUGGAAGAGAAAAAUGAAGGUUUGAUGGAUGCAUGAGCUAUAUUCCCAACCAUCUACACAAGAUAAACACAUGCAUUAGGGAUCAUGUGGAAGUGGACUCAAGCACGAAAGACUAACGGGUCAAGAGGGGACAAGGAAGCCAAUGCGAAAAUGGACGCUCAAGUGUAACGCAGGAAUAGCAGAGAAGUCUCACCGCGGGUCGUAUGAUCAGAUGGAAAGCCGGAAUGUAAAGAGUUAACGGAACGAAAAAUAAACGUGAAUGAAUUUUACAUGUUUACGAUGCGUACUGAUGUUUAUGAAUUUUAUGUGGUGAGCGCAGGUAGUACGAGAUACGAAGGAUCUUCAAGGGAUAGAGAUCAAGGACCGAGUCACAAGACAGAUUGUACGGGAACGUUGGUGUUGAAAUUUAGAAAACCCAUGUCAUGUAUGUAAUUGUAAAUGAG